rnacentral:miRNA from 1 species
CUCAGAAGCCAGAACAGCAAGAGGGAUCGCUGCUUUCACUGUGUAGCGAUCCCUCUUGCUGUUCUGGCUUCUGAG